rnacentral:rRNA from 1 species
AGCACGUUAUGUGGGCGACUCUAAGGAGACUGCCGGUGACAAACCGGAGGAAGGUGGGGAGUGACGUCAAGUCAUCAUGGCCCUUACGGCCUGGGCUACACACGUGCUACAAUGGUCGGUACAAAGGGUUGCCAAGCCGCGAGGUGGAGCUAAUCCCAUAAAACCGAUCGUAGUCCGGAUCGCAGUCUGCAACUCGACUGCGUGAAGUCGGAAUCGCUAGUAAUCGUGAAUCAGAAUGUCACGGUGAAUACGUUCCCGGGCCUU